GAGGCUGAAAUGCUCGGCUCGGGGGCAGAGAAGCAAUUCAGGGGUGGGCGAGGAAGAGAAAGGGUGAUGAGGAGGAGGCUGUCAAGACGAGUGGCAAAGUCAAAAUGGGUGCGGAACAGGGAGGGGAGGGAAAAAGUAUGGGGCAGCGGUGCACAGAGAGCCCCGAGGGGCGUAAGGGCCGAGAGAGGCACGGCAGGAAGGAUUCUGCAGCUGCUGGACCGCACGCGUUUAGGGGAGGCAGAGGGUGGCCCUCCCGACCUGGAAGGAAGAGGGUCCCGGACCUCCGGAUGAAGGCUUGGAUCCAACCGCCUCUUCAGAUCACAGCCCACCGACAGCC